UUCUAGGUACCUCAGUGGUAGAGAAUCUGCCUGCCAAGCAGGAGGUCCAAUUUCGAUUCCUGGAUUGGGAA
rnacentral:tRNA from 1 species